UCUCGGCUCCGCCUCCCUACGGAGGGCGACUACUGCGCAGAGGCAGACGCCGCGCUCUUCCCCCUCGGGGCUCCCCGGAUCCUCCGGAUCACCGAGCACUUCUCCUAGAGCAGCCCCUGAGGAGGUGCCUGUACCCACUUCUCCCAUCUUCGGGUGCCGACCGAACCGCCACCCGGAAGUGCAAACGUCUCCGAGGUUCUUAGCGUCUUUUUUAGAACGCCUGCCGUUACUCUUUCAUUCACCCCACGAACGAUUCUUGGGUGUCUGCCCUUUGGCAGAGAGAUGAACAAGACACGGCCCCUGUCCACAUAAAGGAUUGUAGGACUGGGUGAUAAAUGCUGUACCUCCUAGGGGCUGGAGGCGCGGAGGCCGGAUAGAAGAAAGAUGUCCCGGAGGGUAACGGCCCUGAGCCCGGCUGCUAGUUGCGGGCCACGUAGGGGCUCAGGUGUUUGGUGGAUGGAGAUCUCCGGUUGGAGAACAUUCCGGAUGAAAGAAAGGUGGCCGUCCCACGAACACUCUCCGUGUGCAGGGUGCGUGGGUGCCUGGAGAUGAAGCUGGAGAGGACUGAAUUUGAGAAGUACAUACUUUGUUUUGUUUUGAGUAUUAUCGGCCACAGACCUAGAAUCCAGAUGACUAUAACUUUAAGGCUGUUUAUUAUUACAUUGAUGUAACGUAAUAUUGGUGCGCCAUCAUUUAAUAAAACCAUUCCUUGGUGCUUUUUUGGUUUGUCUACCUUCGCAGAUAUGCAGGAAUGAAUAUCUUUUUUUUUUAAUAAAUUUUCUUUAUUCAGCAUUA